GGCUGAGCCCAGGCAGGGAGGCAGGAGUUGUCCCUGGUGGGACAGGUGGUGGCUGUUCCUUCUUCAUCUUCUAGAGCUGGAGGCUCACACAGGCACAUGACCAGACCAUGUCAUUGUGGGUGUGUGACAUGGCCACCCCAGGGAGACGUGGGACUGACAGCCCUGGCUUGAGGUGAGGAGAGCUCCAGACAGGGGCAGGGGCUGCCCGUGGUGACUGAGGGUCGCUGCUCCCUGUGCUUGUUGGCCACAGGCAGUGCAUUGGCCCAUUCAUUAUUCAAAGUUCUGUGUUGAAUCACACCUGGCAGUCCAUUCUGAAGAGCAAAUUAAGAGUAUUCAAGAGAGGAGCAGUUUUGACCAGAUGUUUACAAAGGUGCCCUCCAAUGAUUCUAUUAUUUGCAUCCUGCUACGGUAGUGGCCAGGACUGGCAGUUAAGUCUCAUUUCUGCCAAUCCGGGUUGCCCUGCAUCCAGACUUGGAGCCUGUCGACUUCAGAGAGGUGAUACCUCAGGUAUGUAGGGCUUGCAGUAAAUCUGUGUGUUAUUUGCCUUUUCCAAUGACUUCUGCAUUAAAAGUGGUGCUCUGUCAGUGUUUUAAUGGUUCUUUCUUCCAAUAUGUGACGUUCAUUAUGUUAAGCUGCCAGGCUUAGAUGUCAAUGAGAUUUUCUCAG
rnacentral:lncRNA from 1 species